rnacentral:rRNA from 1 species
AGUGAACGCUGGCGGUAGGCCUAACACAUGCAAGUCGAACGGCAGCACAGGAGAGCUUGCUCUCUGGGUGGCGAGUGGCGGACGGGUGAGGAAUACAUCGGAAUCUACUCUGUCGUGGGGGAUAACGUAGGGAAACUUACGCUAAUACCGCAUACGACCUACGGGUGAAAGCAGGGGACCUUCGGGCCUUGCGCGAUUGAAUGAGCCGAUGUCGGAUUAGCUAGUUGGCGGGGUAAAGGCCCACCAAGGCGACGAUCCGUAGCUGGUCUGAGGGGAUGAUCAGCCACACUGGAAAUGAGACACGGUCCAGACUCCUACGGGAGGCAGCAGUGGGGAAUAUUGGACAAUGGGCGCAAGCCUGAUCCAGCCAUACCGCGUGGGUGAAGAAGGCCUUCGGGUUGUAAAGCCCUUUUGUUGGGAAAGAAAUCCAGCUGGCUAAUACCCGGUUGGGAUGACGGUACCCAAAGAAUAAGCACCGGCUAACUUCGUGCCAGCCGCCGCCGUAA